AUACUUACUUGGCAGGGGAGACACCUUGAUCAUGAAGGAGGUUUUCCCAGAGUGAGGCUCAUCCACUGCACUGCUCAGUGUGCUGACCCCUGUGAUUUCCCCAAAUGUGGGGGGGGGGGGACUGCUAUGUUCUGC